GACGAACGCUGGCGGCGUGCUUAACACAUGCAAGUCGAACGAUGAAGCCUAGCUUGCUAGGUGGAUUAGUGGCGAACGGGUGAGUAAUACGUGAGUAACCUACCUUUAACUCUGGGAUAAGCCCGGGAAACUGGGUCUAAUACCGGAUACGACCAAUCUCCGCAUGGGGUGUUGGUGGAAAGCGUUAUGUAGUGGUUAUAGAUGGGCUCACGGCCUAUCAGCUUGUUGGUGAGGUAACGGCUCACCAAGGCGACGACGGGUAGCCGGCCUGAGAGGGUGACCGGCCACACUGGGACUGAGACACGGCCCAGACUCCUACGGGAGGCAGCAGUGGGGAAUAUUGCACAAUGGGCGCAAGCCUGAUGCAGCGACGCCGCGUGAGGGAUGACGGCCUUCGGGUUGUAAACCUCUGCUAGCAGGGAAGAAGAGAGAUUGACGGUACCUGCAGAGAAAGCGCCGGCUAACUACGUGCCAGCAGCCGCGGUAAUACGUAGGGCGCGAGCGUUGUCCGGAAUUAUUGGGCGUAAAGAGCUUGUANGCGGUUUGUCGCGUCUGCUGUGAAGGCCGGGGCUUAACUCCGUGUAUUGCAGUGGGUACGGGCAGACUAGAGUGCAGUAGGGGAGACUGGAAUUCCUGGUGUAGCGGUGGAAUGCGCAGAUAUCAGGAGGAACACCGAUGGCGAAGGCAGGUCUCUGGGCUGUAACUGACGCUGAGAAGCGAAAGCAUGGGGAGCGAACAGGAUUAGAUACCCUGGUAGUCCAUGCCGUAAACGUUGGGCACUAGGUGUGGGGAACAUUCCACGUUUUCCGCGCCGUAGCUAACGCAUUAAGUGCCCCGCCUGGGGAGUACGGCCGCAAGGCUAAAACUCAAAGAAAUUGACGGGGGCCCGCACAAGCGGCGGAGCAUGCGGAUUAAUUCGAUGCAACGCGAAGAACCUUACCAAGGCUUGACAUAUACUGGACCGCAUCAGAGAUGGUGUUUCCCUUCGGGGCUGGUAUACAGGUGGUGCAUGGUUGUCGUCAGCUCGUGUCGUGAGAUGUUGGGUUAAGUCCCGCAACGAGCGCAACCCUCGUUCUAUGUUGCCAGCACGUAAUGGUGGGGACUCAUAGGAGACUGCCGGGGUCAACUCGGAGGAAGGUGGGGAUGACGUCAAAUCAUCAUGCCCCUUAUGUCUUGGGCUUCACGCAUGCUACAAUGGCCGGUACAGAGGGUUGCGAUACUGUGAGGUGGAGCUAAUCCCUAAAAGCCGGUCUCAGUUCGGAUUGGGGUCUGCAACUCGACCCCAUGAAGUCGGAGUCGCUAGUAAUCGCAGAUCAGCGACGCUGCGGUGAAUACGUUCCCGGGCCU
rnacentral:rRNA from 1 species